GCCCGGUUGGCUCAGUCGGUAGAGCGUGUGACUCUUAUUAACAUCCCAGUUCACCCCUUAGAUUAAGGUGUUGAAGUUGGGAUGUUACGAGAUCUCAAGGUCGCGAGUUCGAGCCUCGCAUUGGGCU